GCGAUUAACCCGGCUAUAUUCAUUAUCAGUUGUGCAGCGAGGUUAAUGGUUAUAGAUUCGCGAAAACUACAUGGUUUUGGGGUUAUUGAAACGAAUAACUUUAUUCGAUAAUCAGAAAAAAAAAAAAAAAGUAUUGGCCAGAUAUUUAAUCGUUAUACUUUAUCAAUAACCCUAACACCGUAACCGUUCGUUUCGCUUGGUUAUGACAUUUCAGUGGCCCGUUUUAUCAAGGCGAUAAACGAAAUCGCCGAUACGACUUGUUUUUUAAAUAACAGCGUGACCGGGUUACUAACGGUUGUUCGCCGAAACACGUCUGAUAUCUCGCAAUGAAAAUCUAAACGCAUUUUCUUCCCGGUUAUUUUACCUAGUUGUUCGUUACGGUGGCUGGACCCGUCGACGG